GAUGAACGCUGGCGGCGCGCCUAACACAUGCAAGUCGAACGAUUAAAGCACCUUCGGGUGUGUAUAAAGUGGCGAACGGCUGAGUAACACGUGGGCAACCUGCCCCUUUCAUUGGGAUAGCCACGGGAAACCGUGGAUAAUACCGAAUACUUCGCGACUUCCGCAUGGAAGACUCGAGAAAGCUCCGGCGGAGAGGGAUGGGCCCGCGGCCUGUUAGCUUGUUGGUGGGGUAACGGCCUACCAAGGCAAUGAUGGGUAGCUGGGUUGAGAGACCGACCAGCCAGAUUGGGACUGAGACACGGCCCAGACUCCUACGGGAGGCAGCAGUGGGGAAUCUUGCACAAUGGGCGAAAGCCUGAUGCAGCGACGCCGCGUGCGGGAUGAAGGCCUUCGGGUUGUAAACCGCUUUCAGCAGGGACGAGGCGAAAGUGACGGUACCUGCAGAAGAAGCCCCGGCUAACUACGUG
rnacentral:rRNA from 1 species